UACGUAGGGUGCAGGCGUUAAUCGGAAUUACUGGGCGUAAAGCGUGAGCAGGCGGUCUUUUAAGUCAGAUGUGAAAUCCCCGGGCUUAACCUGGGAACUGCGUUUGAAACUGGAAGGCUAGAGUGUGGCAGAGGGGGGUGGAAUUCCACGUGUAGCAGUGAAAUGCGUAGAGAUGUGGAGGAACACCGAUGGCGAAGGCAGCCCCCUGGGCUAACACUGACGCUCAUGCACGAAAGCGUGGGGAGCAAACAGG
rnacentral:rRNA from 1 species